rnacentral:rRNA from 1 species
UCGGAAGCUAAGCAGGGUCGGGCCUGGUUAGUACUUGGAUGGGAGACGGCCUGGGAAUACCAGGUGCUGUAAGCUU